UUCUUUCUAAGAAGAAAGAGGACUAGGGUUUUAUUGUUUGUCCGUCUAGAUCUGUCUGAGCCCUAGGCUCUUCUCUGACCAGAUUUGCCUGAGCCGUAAGCUCUUCUCAGAUCACCACAUCCCUUGUGCCCCCACCACACUAUUUCAUCUUCUUUUCCACGAGAUCUCGCCCACAUCGCCUUCUCUUGCGUUGUCCUUGAACCACCGAGAAUCGUCGUUCCAUUGGCCAAUCGUCAGACAUCAUGUUGGCGGCGGCGCCCCACGGGAGAAUAACGCAGGGUGAAGGGGUUGGAGACGACGAGAGAUUGUAAGGGGCUUGGAGAAUAUGGUGUGCCGGCCGGAAGUAGUGCCAGCACGUCCCACCAGUGUUGUGACGCUAGCCGACUCCAACUCGUCGGUCCCUUUGUAUGGUUGCUUCCUCGCGGUGAGAUCAACGCCCAACCUAGUGAGCUCCUUUUAUGUCCAUCCUUAACUUGUGCUGCACUAGAUUAGUGUUGUGAGCAAUUGUAUCAUAUAUGUACCAAUGUAUAUAAGUUUGUAGUGUCUGCUAUGACAUUAUGUAACAACAAGUACAACCAACAAAUUGUGAUUAGGCUUGUGUGGCAUUAGUCAUAUCCUACUUAUAUAGCAACCGUUUGAUUAAAACCUUUUGUUCAGAACCUCCUCAAGACACCACAAAUGGUGUUCAUAAUAUGGAUGCAUCUAUUUCUAGAAUGGCAAUACCUAUUUUGUGUUGCUAAUUUGUUCUUGGGUAAGAGGACAAGCAAAGUAUGAUAGGCUAAUGAUGCAACCUGAAACAGAGAAUGCUAAAGUUGAUACAGUUUUGCUUAGAAGGAGGCCUCCAGCAUAAAUUUGAUAUAUCUUCUUGCCUAGAAUGAUGUGCACAAUAAUUUUCCAGGGAAAAUCAAUCCAAGUAUAAUAGGCUAAUGAUGCCCCUGAAAUAGACAACAAUUAUUUUUAUCAAGUUUUGCUUAAAAGAGGCUAUGAACCUAAUACAAUAUUUAGGAGUAUAUCUCAUUGAAGCACUCGGUCCUGCUAGUGCUUGGUUUUAAGGUUUCACAUGAAUCUACUUUAGUGAUAUGUUUGCUUGCCCCCUCUACCAUAUUCUUGGUUCUUCCAUAACUUGGUGAAACUAUUGUUAUGUUUGAUUGUUUACCACAGUUUGUGGUUUGUUGUUGCUUUUCGUAUGAUGAUGGUUUAUGGGAUGCCGCUAAUAAUAAGAUUGUCAUAAAAUGGCCUAAUUGUUGUUAAGUGUCAUAUGUAUCCAUAAAUUUCUAGGUAGUUAUCAUCCAUUUACACUUUAUGCCUUGGAUAUGCACAUGGUUGUGUUUGUUUAUUAGGAAUGGUAGGCCAAGUAGGUGUUUAUGGCGUGAUUGCAAAAAAUUGUACGUGAUACCCCAUAAAUAAUUCUCCAUCCCCCUAUUUUAACUUUACAAACAUGCCAUUUGCUUUGUGCAUGUGUGCUACUUCAUAUGGACUAAAAAGAUAAAUUUUUCCUUUCGAUGCAUGAAAAAAAGUAAGAAGGAAAAAUACAUUCCCAUCUGCAAGCUUAUUUUUAUUUUCAAACAUCACAACAUGAGAACAAUAUUAAUCACUUGCUUCAUUUAUCAGAAUCAUAUUAUAUGAAAGAAUAACCAAACAAGUAACUUUGGACACUUUCCCUUAGCUAAAUAUGUUUGUUUCUAGAUGUUAGAUGCCUUGGUUAGCAUUUUUUUAUUCUUGAUGCCUUGGUUAGCAGCAUAACUAUUUAUAGAUUCUACAACAUGUGGUGGAAGCUAGCAAUAAGGCAUAGAUUAAUAAGUGUGCAAGGUGCCGAGUAGUAAGCAUGGGUUUGCAAUUGCAAAAUAAUUUCUCAGCGUGUCCAUGGAGGCACGUCACAUGUUUAAAUACUCUUGUGUGCCAGCAAGGUCUGCAUAUUAGUUUGUUAUUUGUUUGCCCAGGGUAACAUAAGUUCUUUUAUGUGACAUAUAUUCCUUGAAAAAAUAAACUAAAUUGAACAUAUACAAUUUUUUCUUGCCUUGACCAAUGAAAUAAUUUAUUUGUUGCACAUUUGUUUAUUCCAUAUUAUUUUAUCUGCUUAUAGAUCUUGUCCUUUGCAUAUGCAUAUUUCUUAUUAUUCAACAAUUUCUCAUCUCAAAUUUUAUGUUUCUUCCUUAUUUUUCUUUCUCUAAUGGCUUCAAUGAUUACGCAUAAGUUCUCAAUACUUCAAUAUUUGUAAGAUGGUUUCUUAUGUAUUUAACUUACUGUCAAGUAAGAGAUGUUUUCCAUGGUUAUAUAGAUUCGUUCANNNNNNNNNNNNNNNNNNNNNNNNNNNNNNNNNNNNNNNNNNNNNNNNNNNNNNNNNNNNNNNNNNNNNNNNNNNNNNNNNNNNNNNNNNNNNNNNNNNNNNNNNNNNNNNNNNNNNNNNNNNNNNNNNNNNNNNNNNNNNNNNNNNNNNNNNNNNNNNNNNNNNNNNNNNNNNNNNNNNNNNNNNNNNNNNNNNNNNNNNNNNNNNNNNNNNNNNNNNNNNNNNNNNNNNNNNNNNNNNNNNNNNNNNNNNNNNNNNNNNNNNNNNNNNNNNNNNNNNNNNNNNNNNNNNNNNNNNNNNNNNNNNNNNNNNNNNNNNNNNNNNNNNNNNNNNNNNNNNNNNNNNNNNNNNNNNNNNNNNNNNNNNNNNNNNNNNNNNNNNNNNNNNNNNNNNNNNNNNNNNNNNNNNNNNNNNNNNNNNNNNNNNNNNNNNNNNNNNNNNUUUGCAUAAUUGUAACUCAAUGAUACCCGUAAUUUCAUAAUUUAUGUAGACCACUACACUUAGUGGAACCACACUGAUGAGCAUUGGAUGCUAAGGUAUUGUAUUAUUAAUUAGUGAUAUAUUUGUAUGAUAAAGUAUGUGUGGCUACCAGCCAUAUUCCCUUCAUAUCACAUAGUAUUCUUACUUAUAACAACAAUCAAAUUAUGAUAUGAUAUUUGAUAUUUAUUCUAUAGCUAAUUGUGCAAAUUCACACACAAGGUAUUAUCAUCAUUUUCAUACUCGUAGUUAUUUAAAAAAUCUCUAGUUUUUUUACCUCAACUUUAUAGACCCUCUUUGAAUUAUCCUUUUGCAGACUCUUUGUUUUUAAGUGUCAAACAUGUCUUGGAAAUCAUUUUUUCGCUCCUCUCACCACCCAUCUAAUUGUAAGGGAUAAAAAAGUCUCUUAUAUGUGUCCAAGAUGCUUUGCUAAUGUAUAUUUUCUAAAAACAUUGGAAGAUCACGGGCGAAGGGGGGAGGGGGCGCAAUGCAUAUAAGGAGCCUACAUAUUAGUUUCUUUUUUUGAGGAAAAUGGUGACCACAAUCGUUGCAUGUGUGCAUAGGAUACUAACAUUUUUCUAGGUAGAUUCAUUGUAUUCUAUGAUUGCUUUGUUGUAUUCUUUUUUUAUGACGGAUAACAAUGUACAAAGUGAAUAAUUGUUGGGUUCUUCCUAGUAAUUUUGUGUUAGGUGGCUUCUGCAAUCUGUUCCAUUUGUUUUUUGUCCUGUUUUUUGCGACAUGUGACAAUUAUUUACCUGCUAAUUUGACGCCCACCCUUGUGGUAGGGAUUGAUAUUUCUGUUGAGUAGAUUGAUUCAAUGCCUACUCUUUUUUGUGUGAAACGACUUUAUCUAUGUGAUGUUACAACAAUGUUAUUUCUUAGAUAAUGGAAUUAUUGGCAUAUUGUGGGUUGUAUUUUAAACAAUAAAAUCAAGUGUGGAAUGAUUAGAAAAAUUACAUGGGAAGAUGUGCUUUUCGUUCAAGUUAAUCCUAUAGAGAAAAUAAUUGACACUUCUAAAAGCGAAUAAGUUUAUGUCGUUUUGCGCGAGUCCUAAUCAUUUCAUUUCCCCUGUUCAUAGGUAAACUACAAGAGAAAGGUCAUGUUCAUCUGAAUAUAAACUUUGUUCAAGUCAUAGACAUUAUGGUUAAAGUUCUAAACUCAUUUAUGAGAAAAUGGAAUGACUGAGUUAUGAAAAUUGUGUCUGGAGAUAAAGUUAGGAUUUAUGUCAAUGAUGAGAUAGGACCAUAUGUGUGCACUUACCAGGGACUUAGACAGGGGACCCCAUGCCCCCUUUGCUCUUUUGUAUGGCCUCCCGUGCAGUAGAGUUUCUGUUUGAUAGGCCAAUUACAAACUAAUUUAUUCAUUGAAUUGGUCCUUGCCUAGUGGAUGGUGGUUUGCAGAUGAUACUGUGUCACUACCACAUGAUAAUAUGGAGCAAGCUAGAAACCUUGAAUUUAUUUCGUCUCUUUUUAAACAAAUGUCAAGCCUGAAAAAAAAUUCACACAAGUGAGGCCUAUUGUUUGUGCAAGGCACACAAAAUAUAUAAAGCUUUGAGGAGAUAUUUACUUGUAAAUUUGGUAUACUUUCUAUUAACUACCUUCGGAUCCUAAUUGAAAGAAAGAGAGGGAGGAAUGAAGGUAGAUUGGGGAAUUGGCAAGGGAUACACCUCUAAAUGGGAGGCAUACAUUAAUUCUCCACCGACAGGUAUACCAAUGUACAUCUUGCCUUUUUACAUAUUACCACCUAGUGUUGUUGAGCAAUGAUACCACCUUGUUAAUUUACCCUAGGCUUGUUUUCCUAAAGAUUCUGGAGGGUUAAGUAUUCUUAACUUAGAUAUACUAUGAAUAUUUCCUCCCAUCCAAAUGUCUUUGGAAACUCUUCAAUGAAAGUGGUCCUUGGCAGGGAUUUUUGACUAAUAGAUAUUUAGCUUCUCAAAUGGUUACACAAGCAUCAACUCAAAAAAAGGGACUCAAAUUUCUAGCAAUGACUAAUGGAAGUCAAAAUCAUUUCUCUAAAUUAUUACAGAAUUCAAGUUUGAAAUGGGGAAAACCCAAAUUUUGGGAGGACACUUGGCUAGGAAGAACUAGCACGACUGGCCUUUCCCCAGGCUUUUCUCUAUUUCACUGGAACAUAAUAUUUAUAUUCAUGUAGUUUAUACAAAGCUAUGGUGGGUGACACUAUGCAAUGGGAAAAUUUGGAGGAGAUGUGCGCUUGUUUAUCUCUAACUAAUGGUGAUGUUAUGCUUGUAGAUUUGUUGCCAUCCUGUAGUCAGAUUACUAAUAGGUCCUUGUAUUCCACCAUCCAGAAUUAUGAUGCAGUGCCUCAUAAAUUCCUAUGUCAAGUAAGGUACCUUUCUGGAUCUAAACUUUUCUAUGCAUUGCUAUUACGGAAAAGGGUCCUAUAGUCAUGUCAUUCUAUUUAGAAGGGGAGUGGUGUGAUGCUAAAUAUUUGUUUCGUGCUGAAAAUAACCUAUAGAUCAUCUGUUCCUUUCAUGCACACUUGCUAGAUACAUGUGGAAUAUUGUCGGGGUGUGCUCUGAGUGUUUCUUGUCAGUUUUCAAGUGCGGAGGGUUGUUUUAUAUCUUGGUUGGCUAGUUUCAUGGGUAAGAAAAAAAGAAUUAUGACAGCUGUAGUGGCUGAUGUGAUUUGAAGCAUUUGGAAGGCCAAAAAACUGGCUUCUUAUUGUGGGUGAGAUGUUAUGUUUGGGCUUGUUGUUGGAUUAAUUGUUGGAGUUCAUUACAGGUGAAGGCAGACAUAAAAUUGGACCUAGAGUAGAAUACAAGACUAAUGGCGCAAGUCACAACUCAAGUUUUGCACGCGAGGGGUCGGCGAGCUUCGUGGAUCCCCGGGUUGGGGUGUUGUUCCUCAUCUUUUGUAGAUUGAUGGCUGACCUUGCUUCCUUUCCUCUUCUGGAAGUCUUUUCGUUCUUCUUUUCGGCAGCUAAAGCUCUUGCUUCUUAGGUGUAUCUCUACACUUACUAAGCUCCCUAGAAAGGAGAUCUCUAGUUGAUUAGGGCUACUUGGGUCAACUCUCGGGGUAUACAUAUCGCCUUUGGUGGGGGACAAAUCACGGAUGAGGGCAAAGGGGUGGACAUAGGCGGCACAUGUGUUGUGGCUUCCAUGCUUUGUUGAUGUGUGUCCCCGCUUGAGGGGUGCUCCUGCUAGCAAGCCCAUCAUGCUUUGGUUAAUGCUCCUUCUGUUGCCUUCUCGGUUUUGGUUUGCAUCUUUUAUUCUUGUUCAUUGGUUCUCUUUCUGUCGUGAAAUUGUUUUUGAUUUUGGUUUGAGACAAUAUCCUCCAUUAGAGGUAGUGAUGGGAGGGGGAAUUUAGGAUGCGACACAUUUAGGGUGUUCUAGUGGGAUAACAAUGACCCAGCAUCUCACCUCGUCCAUAGUCGGACUCAAUGGUGAGGAGCCACGAUGACCCCAACUACAAUUGAGCUCCACCACCCCAGUUCUCUUCGCCAGCUUCAAGAUGCCGGGAUGCAUCCCAAAGAGGAGUUGAAAAAAGGUGAGAUGUGAUCCUUGCUUUUCUUGCCCUGCCAAGGAGAGUGUAGGUUGCUGCUCUAGGGAUGGUAGGGCAUGUGAUAUGUGGCUUAUGUCAAGGACUAGUUGUGGCCCACCCCCACAAUAGUGUGGUGGCAGAAGGAAGUCAGGAAUGACAUCCUGAUCCAUCUUGUUAAGCUGGAAUUAGUUCCACUGUUCACAUUACAUACAUAUUACUUGGAUUAGAUAUCUUCUACUAAAAAGGGAUUAAAUCUGGGAGAAGUGCGGUGGCAUUCAGACCAAUGUAUUGCUUAUUUUGUGCCACACUCACCAAUAACACGUCCAUUCUAAUGCCUCAUUAAGAGAUAAUAAGAAUGAUUUUCCCAAUCUACCUGGAUAUAUUUCUCUUUUUUACUUCCUCUAGAGGCUUGAUAGUUAGUUAGAAGAACUGGUGACUUAAAUACUCUAGAUAAAAUUCAAAAUAUAAGUGAUAUGUUUCCCCUCUGUACGUUCAUGUGUGAAAUUUCCAACCAUAUAUGUUCAUCCUUAGAUGUAAAGGCAUAUGCACCUCUACCAACAACCCUUUCCCAGAAAUAUCCAUUUGAGUCAGGUUGUUAAAUUAUAGUUGCAAUUCAGUGCUCCCUUUGCAUAAGGCAAAACUGGCAACAUCUAAUCACCAGUAGCAACGUCCUCUUCUCAACUUACUGAAUAUUGUUAUGAUGACAAUUGUGAAUUCGUAGUUAAUCUUUAUGGAAAGGUGGGACGGGGUGAUAGUAUUCUAAUUUUUUUUGCAAAUAAUGAAUGCCCGCUAUUGUUCUUGAAACCAGGUUGCAAAUAUUAAUGCAGUAAUUAACAUGUUUAUGUUCGGCCAUGUUGAUAAAUUGCAUGCCACCUAUUUCAUUAACUAUACUUCCAUUUGAGCAAUAAUUUUAGAAGUGUCAUUAGUUUCAUAAACUUUUAUCCCUUUAUAGGUAUAUUAUAUGACUUUGGAUGACCUUGAUUUCUAAACUUGAAGUUGCAAGCAUGUGUUCAUAUUCUACAAUUUGGAAUCUCAUGUAUAACUUCAAUUUCUUUUUAUGGCUCUCAUCAAUCCUUUACAACUCAAUAGGUUUAGAUACCUACAUAAAUUAGUUAUGGGCAAAAUCCUGUCAUCUACGUAAUGUUCGAGCUUGUCAUAUUUCAUCCACACAAGAAUAAGCCAUAAGCUAAUAAUACCAUUUUUACUCGGUUUUCUGUGAUGCAGAAUAUACUAGACACAAUUUGAACAAUUAUGAUUAAUAUGAUUACCUUGAUGAAUACAACCAUGUAUUUGUUACAUAAAAAAAGCUUGUAAUAAAGAGAGCUUUAGUGGGGUUGUAUGCACUGCUAAUUACCAACCGCAUAUGCAAGAAUUCUAUCUAUUACCAUAUUAUUUAUCAAUGUACACAUGUAGGUCAACGAUUUAUAUCUUUGUAAAAUGAUGUAAGUUCAUGAUGGUUCUAGAUAGUUUCAAAUAUGAAAAUGUUGUAACAUUGGUCUCCCAAUACAAAAAAUACAAAAUGCUGCACCAACUCAAUAAUAUUUCCAACCGAUGGAUUGAUGAUUAUAGAAAGAACAAGAUCUUUUGUUUUGUGCGGGAUGGGGUUAUUAUCCAGGGAGAAAAAUAACUGUUGGACUAUGCUACCAAGUUCUAUAAAGAUUUUUUUGGUCGUGUAGAUAUUUUACCUAUUUCUCCAAGUAUUCAUGUUCCUGCUUGUUUAGAUAUUAAAGGCAAUAAUAUGUUGACUACUAGAUUCUCCUUGGAAGAGAUCAAACCUGUCGUCUUCUCUAUGAAACAUAACCGAGUGACUGGCCCUGAUGAAUGCCCAUUGAGUUUUACUAAUUCAUUUGGGAUUUAAUUUGUUGUGAUUUAGUCCAACUAUUUAGUGACUUCUUUGAUGGCAAAUUAGACCUCUCUAGGCUAAACUAUGGUGUAGUUACUUUGAUUGCCAAAGGCCAGGGGGCUCAUAAGAUUCAAAUGUAUAGGCCUAUUUGCAUGCUUAAUGUCCCUUUUGAGUUUUUUACCAAGGUUUUGAACACUAGAGCUAUGCUAGUUGCUUACAAGCUAGUGUCUAAGAUACAAUUUAUUGAAGGUCGCUAUUUACUGGAUAACGUAGUAAUGUUGCAUGAGACCAUACACUAUGCUCAUAAGAGCAAGCUUUUUGGUGUGCUUUUCAAAGUCAACUUUGAGAAAGCUUAUGAUAAAAUUAACUAGGACUUUAUGCUUUUUGUGUUAGAGAUGAAAGGAUUCCUUGAAAAGUUUAUUCAGUGGACCAAGUCAGCUAUUGUUGACGACAAAGUGGCUAUUACUUCGAAUGAUAUGUUGGGUAAUUAUUUUACUACUAGAAAGGGUCUUAGGUACGGAGAUCCCUUCUUCCCCAUAGUGUUUAUAUAGUUGUUGAUGUCAUGGUGACCCUAGUUAGAAGGGCUCAGGAGCAAGGGUUUAUAAAAGGUCUAGCACCUUAGAUUUAUGAAGGUUGCCUUUCUAUUCUACAAUAUGCCGACAACAUGAUCUUUUGUUUUGGGGACGACUUAGAGGAGCUAGGAAUCUCAAAAUAAUUCUUUGUGUUUUUGAGCAUUUAACUAGUCUUAAAUUUUUUAUCUUUAAAAGUGUGGUUCACUGCUUUGGUGAGGCGGAACUAAAACAUAAGGAUUAUGCUCAGAUCUUUACUUGCGCAUCAGAAACUUUCCUUUUCGUUACCUAAGUAUGCCUCUACACUACGAGAAACUUAGUAAUAGUGAUUGGAAACCCGUUGAGGAUAAAUGUGAGAAGAAAGCAGCUACCUGGCAGGGGAGCUUUCUUCCUAUGGGUGAGAGGCACAUUCUAACUGUGGCUUGCUCGAGUAGUGUCCCUGGUCAUAUGCUUUCCUUUUUUAGAUUGCCUAAAGGUGUUGGUAAACAUUUUGAUUUUUUUUGAGCCCAUUUGGUCUGGCAAGAAAAAGUGGGGGUGUGAAAGUACCACCUGGUCAACUGAAAUGAUGUGUACCAACCUAGUGACUAGGGAGGACUAGGGGUUACUAAUCAAGAAGUUAAAAAUGUUAGUCUUCUUUGCAAGUGGCUUUGGAUACUAGAAAAUGAGGAGGGUAUUGGCAUGAGAUGGUUAGAGCAAAGUAUCCGAAGAAGAAAACUUUGCCUCAAUGUGAAUCAUCUCCUGAUAACUCCCACUUUUGGAAUGGCUUAAUGGAAGUUAAGAAUAUCUUUUAUUGUUGUUGUCAGAGAGUUGUGGGGGAUGGUCGUAAAACUAGAAUUUGGGAAGAUGUGUGGAUAAAGGAUAAACCGCUUCGUUUGAUUUUUCGUCAUCUUUAGAACUUAACAUUUUGUAACAUGUUACCGUUGCGAAAGUAUUUACCUUGGAUUUUAAUUGCAUUGGUUCAGAAGAUGUUUACAUGGGGAGACUCUUGAUAUGUGGAAUAAGUUACUUGAUAUGUGUUGUUGAGUGAUUCUAUCGGAUAAGCAUGACAGUGUUAAAUGGUUACUUACAACCUCCGGUAGCUUUUUUCUUAUCUCUUUAUCAUUAUCUUAUUGCUACAAGUUGCUUUAUCUUUUAAAAUCUAUGAAGGAUGAAGCUUCCUCUUAAAGUUGAUGCCUUCUCUUGGUUAGUAAUAAAAAAUAGAAUUCUGACCAAGGACAAUUUGAUUAAAAAAGACUGGAAAGGAGCUAAGUUUUGUGACCAGAGAAAGUGUGAAUCGUUUAUUUUUUCUCUUGCUCCUUAUCUAAUUUUUUGUGGAAUAUUGUGGGAUGCACUCUGGGAAUCAGAGAUCUCCAAAGUCUUUUUUUGACCUCUGCAAGAACUGGCUGUCUAGCUAUAGUAGCAAAGAUAGGGUAGUUAUUUUAUUGCUGUUGCUACUCUAUUGUGGUCUAUAAGGAAAACAAGGAACAAAUCCUGUUUUCAAAGUGUUAUGCGCAGAGAUCCUACUAACAUUAUUUUUCUUGUUUGUUCCCUGCUGGAAUCUUGGAAAAAUCUGCAGAAAAGAAGGGCACAAAACAUGCUUCAUCAAGUGUCUAGACGUGGUGACUCGUGAUGUCUUUAGAGGUGGGCAUGGUUUGGCCCCACAUGUGAGGAGAAUUUUAUGAAGCCAACCUCUGAAAUGCUUGCUGGCCUUGAAGCCUUUUUGUUAAUUUCGAUGUCGUGCCUUUAAACUGUUGAUACUUUUAUAGUUUGUUGAGUGGUUGCUGAUCCUGAUAGCUAGUGUGGUUGGACGUAGCUCCUCAUUGCUAGUGUUUGUUGUUCCUGAUACGCCAAGUUCCUUUUCUAGUUAGUUUUGUUUAGAUUGGAGCAUCCUGGUAUGGUAAUAUAGAUCAGUUGUGUAACGGUUAGAUUUGCUAGGUUGGAGCAUCAUGAUGUGGUUAUAG
rnacentral:lncRNA from 1 species